rnacentral:rRNA from 1 species
UACGUAGGCAGCGAGCGUUGUUCGGAAUUACUGGGCGUAAAGAGUGUGUAGGCGGUGCUCUAAGUUCGGUGUGAAAUCUCCUGGCUUAACUGGGAGGGUGCGCCGGAAACUGGGGUGCUCGAGCGUGGGAGAGGAAAGCGGAAUUCCUGGUGUAGCGGUGAAAUGCGUAGAUAUCAGGAGGAACACCUGUGGUGUAGACAGCUUUCUGGGCCAUUGCUGACGCUGAGACACGAAAGCGUGGGUAGCAAACAGG